CCUACGGGAGGCAGCAGUGGGGAAUAUUGCGCAAUGGGCGAAAGCCUGACGCAGCGACGCCGCGUGAGGGAUGAAGGUCUUCGGAUCGUAAACCUCUGUCAGCAGGGAAGAACGGUCACUGUGCUAAUCAGCAGUGAAUUGACGGUACCUGCAAAGGAAGCACCGGCUAACUCCGUGCCAGCAGCCGCGGUAAUACGGAGGGUGCGAGCGUUAAUCGGAAUUACUGGGCGUAAAGCGCUCGUAGGCGGUAUGUCAAGGCAAGGGUGAAAUCCCCGCGCUCAACGUGGGAACUGCCUUUGAAACUGGCAGACUGGAGUGUGUGAGAGGCUAGUGGAAUUCCAGGUGUAGGAGUGAAAUCCGUAGAUAUCUGGAGGAACAUCAGUGGCGAAGGCGACUAUCUGGCACAUAACUGACGCUGAGGAGCGAAAGCGUGGGUAGCAAACAGGAUUAGAUACCCCGGUAGUC
rnacentral:rRNA from 1 species